CAGAAGUGUGGGCCAACGGGCACCAUUUGCUGAGCAGUGUGCCGAGCUUGGUUUCUGAACCCCCAGUGGGCGUGAUGACAGACGGGCCAUCUGUACUCAAGACCAGCCCGGGGGGAGGGUGGACGAGAAGACACUGUGUGCAGCCUACAGCCUCCCUCCUCCCAGGAUGGCCACUGCCCAAGCACACAGGGAGCAAAAGCCUACCACCAUGAAGUCAAAGAGAAAACCAGAAAUCAGAACAAGAGCUGAGGAUGGACAGAGGGUGAACGGAGGCAAGUGAGGCCGGGAGGAGGGAGGAAGAGGGAGGACACAGAUCCGGAGGGCUGAGCUCGGGGCAGGUCCAUGGGUGCUCCAGUGUCCCCCAAAUGCUCGUGUGAACGAGGGGGGCUUUUCAGAGGCGGCUGGAUCUAC